rnacentral:rRNA from 1 species
UUUAAGGUCUAACCUGCCCAAUGAGGAUUUAAAUGGCCGCAGUAUUUUGACUGUGCAAAGGUAGCAUAAUUAUUAGUUUUUUAAUUGAAAGCUUGUAUGAAGGGUUGGACGAGAUAAAAUCUGUCUUUAUUUAAAUUAGAGUAAAAUUUAACUUUUAAGUCAAAAGGCUUAAAUGUUUAUAAAAGACGAGAAGACCCUAUAGAUCUUUAUUUAUUUAAGAUUUUAAUAAUUUAGGAUUAUUUUAAUUUGAAGUUUUAAAUAAAUUUUAUUGGGGUAAUAUAAAGAUUAAAUAAAUUCUUUUUAUUUAUUACAUUGAUUUAUGAAUAUAUGAUCCAUUAAUAUUGAUUAUAAGAUUAAGUUACCUUAGGGAUAACAGCGUAAUUUUUUUGGAGAGCUCAUAUCGAUAAAAAAGUUUGCGACCUCGAUGUUGGAUUAAAAAUUAGCUUGGGUGCAGAAGCUCAAGAUUUUGGUCUGUUCGACCAUUAAAUUUUUACAUGAUCUGAGUUCAGACCGGCGUAAGCCAGGUCGGUUUCUAUCUUUAUUUAGAUAAAAUGUUUUAGUACGAAAGGACCAAAUAUUUAAUAUAGUUAUAUUUAUUUUUUGAAGAAUAUU